rnacentral:ncRNA from 1 species
GCAGAGUAGAUUGCUGUGCGUUAAGUGUUAGCCGAACGGGGAGUUGUCGGCUAAACGAAAAGCUUAAAGCUUGCGGUACAGCAGUCGCAUCCCGCUGU